CGCUUCUACCCUAAAAGUCUGGUCCUGCCUCUGGGUAAAACCCAGAGCUGAGAUGUUAGAAGAGCCUCCUCUGCUAAUCUCUGGCCUGGAGACCCUGGGUCCUAACCUCCGAGCACAGGAAACGCUCACCUGGGCCGUGACCUUCAGACUGCUUUUCAGCUUGUGGGAAGGAUGCUGCAAACACUGGCAGUUGGAGGGCUGAGGAGUUCCUGUUGAACUGGCCUUAGUGACUGAAUGGAACUACAUUAGGCAAUUAGUAAGAAGACCUCCGCAGCACCACCCUACAGAUUUAUCAAAGUCGAUUGGGACAGUAUGAAGGCGUAAGCAUAUCAAAAUCGCUUCAGGAGAGCCACACCCAAGAAGUCAGCCUAAGGAGGAUGAAACUCCACACGUAGACCCUCUGAACAGGAUGCCUAAGACAUGGCGACAGCCCCGACCACCUGCUGUCUGAUCACCCAGUAUAUGUGCUAAGGGACAGACAGGCAGAGAAUUCCUGGCUCCCCAAGGGUCUCCUGCUUGGCUUAGUCUCUGCUGUGGUUGGGUUGCCGACCGUUCAUCUUCCUGUCUGUCCAUGUGGACUUGGUCCUGCACUUCAGCUCUCUGACCUCCGUGGCCCUGCACGUCUCUUCUGCAGCUGGACUCAAGCCUAAGGCUCAGCGUGACUCUGCACAGGCACCUCUGGAAGACCUCCAGCGGAUCCAGAGUCCCUGUACACUCCUGUACACUUUCUGCCCCUUGAACUCUGCUGCAGUCUCCUUAAGCCUUCAUAACCAUUCAGUAAUCCCUAUAUAAACAUGUGCAGAGAUUCAUUAACUGUGUAGUGUGUAAUAUACGACCUGAGAGUUGAUAUGAGCUGUUAUGAUUGGGAUAGAAGACCUGUAUUUUGGGAAGACUCAUACAGCCAACUAAUGUGCGCUCAUAGGGGCUCACAGAGACUGAACCGACAACCAGAAAGCCCGCAUGAGACUGACCUAGGCCCUUUGCAUAUAUGCUACAGUUGUGUAGCUUGGUCCUUUUGUCGGGCUCCUAACAGCAGGAAUAAGGGGAUGCCUCUGACACUCUUACCUUAGGCUUUUGGGACCCUACUUCUCAUAUUGGGUCACCUUACCUAGCCUUUAUAUAUGGGAAGGUACUUAGUCUGCAACUUGAUACACCAUGUUUUAUUGAUCCUCGUAGGAAACUUGCCUUUUCCUGAAUGGAGUCUGAAGAGGAGGGUAUUGGGGGUAAGGUGGGGGAAAAGGGGAGAAAGACUGGGAGGAGAAGAUGCAAGAGCAGGGAGAGGCUAUGGUCAGGAUGUAAAAUAAAUAAUGAAUUAGAGAAAAAGAACCCAUGUUUGCCGCAGUUUGCCCCUGCUGUCUAUCAAGGGAAACUGGGAUUCCUUGACAAAUCAUAACCAAUAAAAACCAACACAGCUUGUGCAUUUGUUUGGUAUCCAAUAAA